rnacentral:rRNA from 1 species
GACGAACCGUGCGAACGUUAUUCGGAAUCACUGGGCUUAAAGCGCGUGUAGGCGGGAGGGCACGUCCGUUGCUGAAAUCCCCCGGCUCAACCGGGGAACGGGCGCGGAUACGACUCUCCUUGAGGGGCGUAGGGGGACCUGGAACUUCCGGUGGAGCGGUGAAAUGCGUUGAGAUCGGAAGGAACGCCCGUGGCGAAAGCGGCUCACUGGACCACAACUGACGCUGAGGCGCGAAAGCUAGGGGAGCAAACAGG